GUUGUCCGGAAUUAUUGGGCGUAAAGCGCGCGCAGGCGGUUCUUUAAGUCUGAUGUGAAAGCCCACGGCUCAACCGUGGAGGGUCAUUGGAAACUGGGGAACUUGAGUACAGAAGAGGAAAGCGGAAUUCCACGUGUAGCGGUGAAAUGCGUAGAGAUGUGGAGGAACACCAGUGGCGAAGGCGGCUUUCUGGUCUGUAACUGACGCUGAGGCGCGAAAGCGUGGGGAGCAAACAGG
rnacentral:rRNA from 1 species